CCUACGGGCGGCUGCAGUGAGGAAUAUUGGUCAAUGGCCGGAAGGCUGAACCAGCCAAGCCGCGUGAAGGACGAAGGUGCCAAGCAUUGUAAACUUCUUUUGUCAAGGGACAAAAUCAGGCUCGAGAGCCUCACCGAGGGUACUUGAAGAAAAAGGAUCGGCUAACUCCGUGCCAGCAGCCGCGGUAAUACGUAGGGGGCAAGCGUUAUCCGGAUUUACUGGGUGUAAAGGGAGCGUAGACGGUGCGUCAAGUCUGAAGUGAAAUGCCGCAGCUUAACUGCAGAACUGCUUUGGAAACUGGCGAACUAGAGUGCGGGAGGGGUAAGCGGAAUUCGUGGUGUAGCGGUGAAAUGCGUAGAUAUUAGGAGGAACACCGAUGGCGAAGGCGGCUUACUGGACCGUAACUGACGUUGAGGCUCGAAAGCGUGGGGAGCAAACAGGAUUAGAUACCCUAGUAGUC
rnacentral:rRNA from 1 species